rnacentral:snRNA from 1 species
ACUUGCGUCGGAUAACGGCUGCAUUGAAUAGCAGCUUCUGUUCAAAUGAAAGAUUGGUGUAGUAGGGCUGAUUAGCGUGCAGCUGCAUGCCCUUCAUAUUUGUUGUUUUAAACAACACUGAGCACCAUCAUCUUACAGCAAGCAAGAGCAUCAAAAGAAGUCGAGAUCAUCGUC